GAAGUCUGGAGGGCCUGGAGCCUCACCUCACGGGCUGCGUGCUCCCGCCGAAGGAGGGUCUCAGAAAAAACGCCCUGACUUCGCAGGGAUGUGUGAUUUGUUAAGAAUUGUGUGCAUGUGUGUGUGCGCUCGUGCGGGGCAUGCCUCCUGCCCCCUCGCUUUGCAGACUCAGCUACCAUUAGUAGGAAAACCCACAGAACACUAGCCUGAGAUUCUCCAAGGCCGGAUGAAAGGCCUAAAUCACAGAAGAGCGAUUUGCAUGUGUUUUCUGCAGCUGUUAGGAGACGGAUUUGACCCCGAGUUGGGCUGGCUGCAUCCAAGCACUUAGCCUUCCUCUCACCUAGCAUUUCCGCCAGAUCCACGCGGUUGGAUAAUUCAAGUACUGCGGGCCCCCUUGCCAGAAUAACAGGGAUAACUAGAUACCUGGGGCUCCCCUCUCCGCGUCUCCCCGUGCCAGCAAGGUGACACACCUUGGCGGUUACCAGAUAGCCCUCCCCGUGUGACUGGUGGAACCAGUCUCAUUCCUCCACGGCCAUGUCUCCCAGGCAUACUCACCCACUGGCUCAUUUAAAGGCUUGUAACAAACUGUAAACUAACAACCUCCCCGGUUUGGAAUUCGUCACACUGCUGGAAGUUUUUACAAAGGGAAUGUAAACAUUCUGCAUUACUUUUGGAUGGAAGCAAAUUGAGGGAAAAUAAGGAAUGGCAUGGGCUGGUAGGAAAACGCAGUUGGCCAACCCAUAUGUGAUAGACACUGAAACAUCCUGUAAAUCUAGGAAAAGACCAGGCUCCUUCUGCUUCUGCUCCCAGCCACUGUCCCCCUGUGCCCAGGCCCGUUCAUCCCCUGGGUGGAGGACCCGGUCAUUAGCCUCCCCAGCUGGAGACACUCCCUGCUCCCAGCACAGCGCCCCCUCCUCCACCCCACAUCUCUGCCCUGCUCCCAGCACAGCGCCCCCUCCUCCACCCCAUCUCCCUUCGGCCCAAGGAGCCAGAUUGCUGCUCUGUCCAGAAAGGACUCUCCUCGCCACCAAACCCUCCAAGAUGUGAGACAGCAGCCUGCCUGGAAUUCUCUAGAAGGCAUCACUCUGGACCUUGGACCAGGUGAGUCUCAUGGUGGCAGGGAAGAGACAGCAAAAGCUGCGUUUCCAAAUUUUUCUUCAGAAUAUUC
rnacentral:lncRNA from 1 species